UAAAUACCUCGCAAUAAAAAUCUAGCAAGAAGAUGCUUAUCUAUAGGACUAAAAUUCAGUAACAAGGACCACAAAUAUUGGCUGCUUCUCUGAAUGCCCUGGUAAAUGGUCACCAUCGUACUCUCAGCCUGUUCUUCCUUAUUUUCUUGGCAACAUCCUCGCAAAAUCCCUGUAUUUUUCCCUCUAACAUCUCUCACAUCACCUACAAAAAGCCAGCCAGCCAUUCACCUUGUAUCAUUUUCCAUCAUUAAAUCAAUCAAUUCCCUUCUAUGUUUACCUAAACUGAACGCUUUCACUUUGUAGCUAAUGAAACUGACGCCACAUGAGCUAGCCACGUUGAUAAAAAUUGUACACAACCACCCAUUAUUAACCCACGAGCCAGCUGCGGCCACCUGCAGUUCAUUGCCUUGAGAAGUAGCUAACCCUUUUGUUUUCAUGGCUAAUAAUAAUGCUGGUGCCCAACUAUCAGAUUCACUGGCCCCUAAUAACAAUCCCCAGAAUGACGAGCUUCUCUUCUCUGGUGACCGGAACUUCGCCAUCCAUGUAAGUCCAAUGAUUCUUCAAAGCUCAGUCAAUCGGAACUUGUUUCGCCGGUGAAUCCCUCGGCCGGCAGUACGUUUAAGGUUCAGUUUAAAGAUGGGACAAAUAUGAUGCAAGUUCCUCAGCUACCACAGCAGCAAUAGGCCAAUCUUCUCCAUAAUAUCUGGCUGAUUCCUGAUUUCUGGAAUUGCCAGUCAUAUUGCUUACAUCUUUGUAGAAGUUGAAGAUGGAACCACAUGCCUGCUUCCAGUAUAGGUCAGGGAAGGAGAUGCCAUUGUCAUCGAAUCCACUGAGUCUCACCUUAAUCGACGCUUAAUGUUUAAUCAAUAUAUGUUCAAUUGUUGCAUUAAAUAAUUUUUUGAUAAAUUUGUUUCUUUCUUCUUCUUUUUUUUGCCGGAAUUUGUUUCUUUCAACUUCUCCGUUAUUGGUGUAUUUAAAGCUGUGAGAAGCUUAUAUAUAUUAGAGAUUUUGUUUAAA